rnacentral:rRNA from 1 species
AGGACUAACGCUGGCGGCGUGCCUAACACAUGCAAGUCGAACGAGAGUAGCAAUACUCUAGUGGCAGACGGGUGAGUAACACGUGGUCAACCUACCUCUAUGUGGGGGAUAACUAGCCGAAAGGUUAGCUAAUACCGCAUACGAUCGUCGAGCGGCAUCGCUUGACGAUGAAAGGAGCAAUCCGCAGAGAGACGGGACCGCGUCCCAUUAGCUAGUUGGUGGGGUAAUGGCCUACCAAGGCGACGAUGGGUAGCUGGCUUGAGAGAGCGACCAGCCACACUGGGACUGAGACACGGCCCAGACUCCUACGGGAGGCAGCAGUGAGGAAUUUUCCGCAAUGGGCGAAAGCCUGACGGAGCGACGCCGCGUGUGGGAAGAAGGCCUUCGGGUCGUAAACCACUGUCGAAGGGGAAGAGUAUUGACGGUACCCUUGGAGGAAGCCCCGGCUAACUACGUGCCAGCAGCCGC